GUGAGCUUAGGGUUUUCAGCUAUGGCGAGGGACAGGGAUGUUGUCUCGCUAGGGCUGGGAAUCGUCGGAGCGGCGGUGGCCGGGGCGGCAGCGGGGUAUAUGCUCGGAAGAUCGGAGUCUCAGCUGGCCAAGUCGAUCUCGGAGGCUAGUCGCACUGCUUCUGAGGUGGGAGAUAAGAUCGCUCUGUCCUUCGACAAAGGCAUCGAGAAGAUCACUCUGUCCUUCGACAAAGGCGUGGACAAAGUCGCGGCUUCUUUUGACAGAGGUGUCGCGUCGUUCGACCGCAGCAUUGUGUCCUUUGAUCGCGCCAUUGACACCGUGGGGUCGUGGAAGAUCCCGAAGAACGGCUGCAAGUUCUCGCUAUGCCCAUUGGUGAUGAUCCCGAACGAAGAUCCUUAGAUGGAUUUGCGGAGCAAUCGGCGGUGCGAUCCGCAGCGGAAGCGCAAGCAAGUAAGAGCUGCCGGCGAAGCGGCCUGGCUGUGGCGGCAACGAAGCGAGCGAUCGGUUUUUACUUCUUUCUUUCGUUCUCUUUCUGUUUUUGAUGACGCGAUUUGAGUCGGAUGGCACUCUUGUAUAGAUUCUUUCUGCGAAGGAUGCCAAUGUAGAUCGAUUUACCGGGCGGAAAUCCUUUGCGGGUCUUCUCACGUUUGCGUUUAGUUGAAAGGCUUGUUCUUUUGUUUCUCUUCUUUCUCAGGCUUUCCAGGUACCAGCCAUUCGCAAGUCAUGGUCCGAGUCUUGUUCACUGUCAGGCAUGGUUGACGCAACUUCGCAGGAUGCCUUUGCUUCAUCCAGAUGAGCUCGAGAAAUGGUUCUUCUGCCUAAGGUGAAAAGUCUUCAACAAUUGCUUUCGUCUGCUAUCUUAUCAGAUGGAUCCUCGAAGACUCCUUCCUUUCUAAAGGCGACCAAAGCCAUCUCCAAACUGUCCCCGUAAGCUUGUGUGUAUUGACAAUUUUUUUCUGGUAGAGGAGCGGGAGAGGAGACAAAAAUGCUCAACCCCGAGAAGCUCGUCUUUCAAGGAAAGCUCGUGAUCCGGCUCUUCCAGCGAAUGUACCGAGAGGACUGGAUCACUCUGGUGACAGUCUUCGAGGCGUCUUGGCAACUAAGAACAUGGUAAUAGAAUUCACGCUUUUCUUAGGACCAUGUAUCAAAAGUGUGAGAGUCUGAACGAUGCUUGCUUGAUUUCCCGAAGAGUGGAACCAGUGUAGACCUCUGGAGUCUCGGCUUUGGAAGAAUGACAGGAUAAGGAGAUCAUCAAGCUCUGGAGGACACUCACUGUCUCUUGGGCAUCUCUUUGUCAAGGAUGAUGCAUGAGGAUGGCCAGGAUUCAGCUCCAAAACUCCAGCCAACGUUGGGAUCAGCCUUGCAAGCAGCGAGAAAGCAUCUCCAGUCCAGAUGAAACGGGAUGUUGGCGAUGGGGUCUUCGGCAGUCCUGCAUGCAACUGUUAUGCAGCUUGGUGAUCUUGGUCACUGGAGAAAAAAAACUGCUCAACCCCGAGGAGAUGUCCUUCUCUGAAAGUACAAGUUCUAUCAAGGAUCCGGCUCCAGCGAAUGUAGCGAGAGGACUGGAUCACUCUGGUGACAAUCUUCGAGGCCUCUUGGCAACCAUGGAGAGUGGAACAAUCUGGAGUCUCGGCUUUGGAAGAGUGACAGGUUAAGCUCUAGAGCUUUGGAGCUGAUUCGAUCAAUGACCAAAGCCUUGACACAUCCAUCGAUGGAGAAAGCAAACUCGGCCACCUUUCAUCAACUCAACGAAAGCAAGCCUCGUCUGGGAGAAUCUCCAUGGAUCCUGAGAGCGUGAGAGAGAGCACACUGUCGCCAUACAUCAAAAUGACGUUCAGGCAUGCCCACAAGCUGCGCGUAGCAGUGCCGCCUCGGUGGCCGAGAUCACAUUGUGGACCAGCAUCGGCUUGAUCGAUCGCGUGCAAGCGGAGAUCACAUGCAAGCGGAGAUCACAUUGAUAUCAAUGUACUUGGAUUCAAAUAGCUCACCUAGAUCGACUCAUUUAGAGAUUACAAGGUCCUUUCAUUA